GACGAACGCUGGCGGCGUGCCUAAUACAUGCAAGUCGAGCGGACGGAUGGGAGCUUGCUCCCAGACCGUCAGCGGCGGACGGGUGAGUAACACGUGGGCAACCUGCCUGUAAGACUGGGAUAACUCCGGGAAACCGGGGCUAAUACCGGAUAACUCUUUCCCUCACAUGAGGGAAAGCUGAAAGAUGGCAUCUCGCUAUCACUUACAGAUGGGCCCGCGGCGCAUUAGCUAGUUGGUGAGGUAACGGCUCACCAAGGCGACGAUGCGUAGCCGACCUGAGAUGGUGAUCGGCCACACUGGGACUGAGACACGGCCCAGACUCCUACGGGAGGCAGCAGUAGGGAAUCUUCCGCAAUGGACGAAAGUCUGACGGAGCAACGCCGCGUGAGUGAUGAAGGUUUUCGGAUCGUAAAACUCUGUUGUCAGGGAAGAACAAGUACCGGAGUAACUGCCGGUACCUUGACGGUACCUGACCAGAAAGCCACGGCUAACUACGUG
rnacentral:rRNA from 1 species